GCCCUGCCCGGUGCAUAUGAGGUGUAAACGGCGGUCUUAGCGUGAGGAUCUUAAGGUAGCACAAUAAUUUGUCUUUUAAUUGAAGAAUGGUAUGAAAGGGUUAACGUGGGAUAAGCUGUGUCAAAAUAACAUAUUGAAACUAAUUUUUACGUGAAGAAGCGUGAAUUUUUUAGAGUGACGAUGAGACCCUAUGAAGUUUGACCUGAAGUUGUCUCAUUUACCAAUAAGUUAGAGCACAUGUGCUCAGCAGAUUUAAGGUGGACUAUAACGGUUUUGGUGGGGCCCCAGUCUUAGUAGGUGUAAGAUAGUACGCAGUUUUUGCGUUUUACAGGGCUUUGUUGCCCUAUAAGUUAAGUUCUCACUUGAGUAAAUCUAUACUUUAUAAAUUUGAUAAACUACUCUAGGGAUAACAGCACAAUCCUCUUCGAUAGAAGCUAUUGAAAAGGGGGUUUGUGACCUCGAUGUUGGCUUUGGAUUACUUUAAGGCGUAGAAGCUUUAUAAGCGGGUCUGUUCGCCCUUUAAUUUCCAACGUGAUCUGAGUUCAAACCGGA
rnacentral:rRNA from 1 species